rnacentral:rRNA from 1 species
GUGCCAGCAGCCGCGGUAAUACGUAGGGUACAAGCGUUGUCCGGAAUUAUUGGGCGUAAAGAGCUCGUAGGCGGUUCGUCGCGUCUGCUGUGGAAACGCAAGGCUCAACCUUGCGCGUGCAGCGGGUACGGGCGUAACUAGAGUGCAGUAGGGGAGUCUGGAAUUCCUGGUGUAGCGGUGAAAUGCGCAGAUAUCAGGAGGAACACCGGUGGCGAAGGCGGGACUCUGGGCUGUUACUGACGCUGAGGAGCGAAAGCAUGGGGAGCGAACAGGAUUAGAUACCCUGGUAGUCC